GACGAACGCUGGCGGCGUGCUUAACACAUGCCAGUCGAACGGAAAGGCCCUGCUUUUGUGGGGUGCUCGAGUGGCGAACGGGUGAGUAACACGUGAGUAACCUGCCCUUGACUUUGGGAUAACUUCAGGAAACUGGGGCUAAUACCGGAUAGGAGCUCCUGCUGCAUGGUGGGGGUUGGAAAGUUUCGGCGGUUGGGGAUGGACUCGCGGCUUAUCAGCUUGUUGGUGGGGUAGUGGCUUACCAAGGCUUUGACGGGUAGCCGGCCUGAGAGGGUGACCGGCCACAUUGGGACUGGGAUACGGCCCAGACUCCUACGGGAGGCAGCAGUGGGGAAUAUUGCACAAUGGGCGGAAGCCUGAUGCAGCAACGCCGCGUGCGGGAUGACGGCCUUCGGGUUGUAAACCGCUUUCGCCUGUGACGAAGCGCGAGUGACGGUAAUGGGUAAAGAAGCACCGGCUAACUACGUG
rnacentral:rRNA from 1 species